GACGGAAGGUGCAAGCGUUGCUCGGAAUCACUGGGCGUAAAGGGUGCGUAGGCGGCUUGGUGGGUCUGGUGUGAAAGCCCCGGGCUCAGCCCGGGAAGGGCACUAGAAACUGCCGAGCUGGAGUGCCGGAGGGGAGAGUGGAAUUCCUGGUGUAGCGGUGAAAUGCGUAGAUAUCGGGAGGAACACCUAUGGCGAAGGCAGCUCGCUGGGACGUUACUGACGCUGAGACGCGAAAGCGUGGGGAGCAAACAGG
rnacentral:rRNA from 1 species